rnacentral:siRNA from 1 species
UGUUAACGAAACAUAUUUUAGG